ACAGCCGGCCAUAGCGGCGGGGCUCCACCUGGUCCCAUUCCGAACCCAGAAGUGAAACCCGUCGUCGCCGCUGUGUUAGUGAGAUGCGCGAGCUCUCGCGAAGCAGCGGUGCCGGCGCCU
rnacentral:rRNA from 1 species